CCUACGGGUGGCUGCAGUGGGGAAUAUUGGACAAUGGGGGGAACCCUGAUCCAGCCAUGCCGCGUGUGUGAAGAAGGCCCUCGGGUUGUAAAGCACUUUCAGUGGGGAAGAACGCCUGGUGGUUAAUACCCAUCAGGAAAGACAUCACUCACAGAAGAAGCACCGGCUAACUCCGUGCCAGCAGCCGCGGUAAUACGGAGGGUGCGAGCGUUAAUCGGAAUUACUGGGCGUAAAGCGCGCGUAGGUGGCUUGAUAAGCCGGUUGUGAAAGCCCCGGGCUCAACCUGGGAACGGCAUCCGGAACUGUCAAGCUAGAGUGCAGGAGAGGAAGGUAGAAUUCCCGGUGUAGCGGUGAAAUGCGUAGAGAUCGGGAGGAACACCAGUGGCGAAGGCGGCCUUCUGGACUGACACUGACACUGAGGUGCGAAAGCGUGGGUAGCAAACAGGAUUAGAUACCCGAGUAGUC
rnacentral:rRNA from 1 species